rnacentral:rRNA from 1 species
CAGUCGCCGCGGUAAUACGGAGGGAGCUAGCGUUAUUCGGAAUUACUGGGCGUAAAGCGCACGUAGGCGGAUAUUUAAGUCAGGGGUGAAAUCCCGCAGCUCAACUGCGGAACUGCCUUUGAUACUGGGUAUCUUGAGUAUGGAAGAGGUUAGUGGAAUUGCGAGUGUAGAGGUGAAAUUCGUAGAUAUUCGCAGGAACACCAGUGGUGAAGGCGGCUAACUGGUCCAUAACUGACGCUGAGGUGCGAAAGCGUGGGGAGCAAACAGGAUUAGAUACCCCUGUAGUCCCUGUCUCUUAUAA